rnacentral:rRNA from 1 species
UACAGAGGUCUCAAGCGUUGUUCGGAUUCAUUGGGCGUAAAGGGCGCGUAGGCUGCGGGGCAAGUCGGGUGUGAAAUCUCAGAGCUCAACUCUGAAACUGCACUCGAUACUGCUUUGCUUGAGGACUGGAGAGGAGAUUGGAAUUCACGGUGUAGCAGUGAAAUGCGUAGAUAUCGUGAGGAAGACCAGUGGCGAAGGCGGCAUCCUGGACCAAUACUGACGCUGAGGAGCGAAAGCCAGGGGAGCAAACGGG